CCGAGAUGUCAGCCUGGCUGACACCUUCACACUUUGUUAAUCGAAACGUUGCUUCGGCGGGACGCCGCAAGGCCGUCGGCGAAAGCGGGCGAGCGCCUGCCGAACUACCAACUCUGAUUACUUGCAGUCUGAUUAUCAUUCAAUGAAUAA
rnacentral:misc_RNA from 1 species